AGUCACAAACUCAGUGAAACUUGCUGCUGAACUGUCCAUUUACACCUGACAUCUUUGAUUUGUGAUUCAUUGCUUCUGUGUAGGAAUUUGAGCUUUCGUUUCAGUGAGUGUUUCCUCUUGGAUUAUCUGAUGUGAAAUGUAUUCAAAAAAUCACAACACUGUAGGCUAUGGAUGUGUGUACACAGACUCCGAUGAAGUUUUCUGUCAGUCAAGAGCUCUUUUGAUCAUCGACGCCUCCUCAAACUCCCACAGCUACACACGGAGCCGUGGAUAUGUUGAUAUGAUCACCCUGGCAACAUCACGAGUCACUGAGGACUAAAUCAAAAGACACAAGAGACUUCUUUAUGACUUCAAUUAAACCUCCUCUGUUUACUCUACUGCUAGAUCUGCUUGAAGACGCUGGUCUCUGUGAAAGUCAGUGCUGGCGCCCUUCGUCAUAUGGUAAUCGCCCUUGCUUGCGAAAAGGAGGGAUGGCGGCCAAACCGGACUGGAUUUGAUCUGCGUCCAGGGCUCUACUGAUAACCCCAUCUAUCUUACUUGAUUUGGCAAAAAGGGCCUCACUAAUAACACCAACGGGGUGGCAAACUCACUACCUUGACAGAUGUCCAAAUCACUGGUAAACAACAGAAAGCGGGUGAAAAGAAAUAAAUGACCGUUUCGAAUCCGCAGGGAGGUUGAAAAUGUCUGAAGACACUCCAGGAGAGGAAGCUGAGCUUUGAUUGGAGCUGGAAACGGGGAAUACAGGUGCAUAUUUUUCUUUUAAGGAAAGAUGUCGCCUCAAUGAGCCAAUGAAGAUCAGCCGUACGCCUGAGGAGCGUUCAGUCUUUAAAUGACUUUUGUCACUGUGCACCUGUCAGAUACUAUUAUACUAUAUAUGUUUACCCAUUGUACAAUGACAAUUCAGAUUGUGCCCACAAUCUCAUAUAAAUAUAAUAUAAUAUAAUAUAAUAUAAUAUAAUAUAAUAUAAUAUAAUAUAAUAUAAUAUAAUAUAAUAUAAUAUAAUAUAAUAUAAGAAUCUUAAUAUCAGCAGCUUGGACUUUCAGACUACACAAUUUGAAUGCUUAAGAGAUGUUGACAUUUUGCAUGACACUUCCUAUACAUAAGUGCAAUUCAAAAUAAUUAGAUUACACAAUGUGCAAGUCGUCUGGAAUGGUGAUGACAUUAUAAUUUGUAGCUGCAAAUGCCAUUUUAAUAGCACUAGAACAUAAGCAGGCAUAUUUUUAAAAGACUCUCCAGAAGUAAUUCAUUAGUCUUAUCCUACAUUUGAAGAGGGUUCAUUGUCAAAACGGCCACUUGUGUUUGGCUCCUCUGUUUCUCCUGUGAACUGUUUUAAUCCCCACAGUGCUGUUCGGUCAGCGUGCACCUAUCAUAUUUGUCCAGCACAGGUGCCAGUUUCAGAAAGCUGAUUUACUGGCUCUGGACCGGCUCCGAGGAAUUGAGCUUUGCUGAAAAGUGGCUCUAAAUGUCUACAGCUGCUUUGGCCUCUUGAUAUUGAUGAUUUUAAUUGUGGAUAUUAAUUUAUUAAGAGUCUUCUUUGCAGGUAAACUGUUAUAGUGCAGGGUGUCCAAAUUCUUUGUGCGUGUGAUAUUCAUAUAAGGUAGCCGAAGUGAUUAAAGCAUGUGUGCACAGAUCAAUUAAACAAAGUUUACCCA